CCAGGAUCCAGCUGUCUCCACAGCUCGCCCCUCCGGGACUUAUUACGAGGUGGAGAAAUGCAGGUCUGGGCCAGCGGAGACGUAGCAGGAUGAAGAGGUGGGUGAGGAGGGAGAGGGUGAAUGAGUGGGGUGAAGAUGGAGAGAGG